GUGAACGCUGGCGGCGUGCCUAUACAUGCAAGUCGAGCGCGAGAUUGAGGAGCUUGCUCCUUAAUCUCGAGCGGCGGACGGGUGAGUAACACGUAGGCAACUACCCUUGAGAUUGGGAUAACUACCGGAAACGGUAGCUAAUACCGGAUACGACUUUUCUGCAUAAGCAGUUAGUUAAAAGGCGGAUUUAUCUGCCGCUCAUGGAUGGGCCUGCGGUGCAUUAGCUAGUUGGUGAGAUAGUGGCUCACCAAGGCGACGAUGCAUAGCCGACCUGAGAGGGUGAUCGGCCACACUGGGACUGAGACACGGCCCAGACUCCUACGGGAGGCAGCAGUAGGGAAUCUUCCGCAAUGGACGCAAGUCUGACGGAGCAACGCCGCGUGAGUGAUGAAGGGUUUCGGCUCGUAAAACUCUAUUGUUAAGGAAGAACACUUGAGGUAGUAACUGGCCUUGAGAUGACGGUACUUAACCAGAAAGCCACGGCUAACUACGUG
rnacentral:rRNA from 1 species